CGAAAGGGAGGAAAGUCCGAGCUGCAAUAAGACGGAGUUCCAUCUAACGGAUGGCUGGGGUAACCCAAGGGAAAGUGUAACAGAAAGCAGACUUCCGCUUAGGCGGUAAAGGUGAAACGGCGGGGUAAGAGCCCACCGAAGCGCCUAGUAAUAGGCGCUGGCAUAUAAACCCAACUCGCAGCAAGAAGGGGUGGUUUUAGUCUUAUAUUUUGACCCUUCGCUUGAACUUGUAUGUAAAUGCAAGGCUAGAUAAAUGAUCGCUCGCGACAGAACUCGGCUUACCGCCGUGCC
rnacentral:RNase_P_RNA from 1 species